rnacentral:rRNA from 1 species
AGAGUUUGAUCAUGGCUCAGAACGAACGCUGGCGGCAGGCCUAACACAUGCAAGUCGAGCGCCCCCUUUCAGAUGUCAGAGAUCGGAUGACAGAUGUCAGAAGCGCUGUGCGCGGCAACGCGCGCGGUGGUUUUUUGUCAUCGGACAUCUGUUUUCUGACAUCUGAUGGGGGAGCGGCGGACGGGUGAGUAACACGUGGGAAUUUUCCUCAAGGUACGGAACAACCCAGGGAAACUUGGGCUAAUACCGUAUGAUGUCUUCGGACCAAAGAUUUAUCGCCUUGGGAUGAGCCCGCGUCAGAUUAGGUAGUUGGUGGGGUAACGGCCUACCAAGCCUGCGAUCUGUAGCUGGUCUGAGAGGACGAUCAGCCACACUGGGACUGAGACACGGCCCAGACUCCUACGGGAGGCAGCAGUGGGGAAUCUUGCGCAAUGGGCGAAAGCCUGACGCAGCCAUGCCGCGUGAGUGAUGAAGGUCUUAGGAUUGUAAAGCUCUUUCGCCCGUGACGAUGAUGACGGUAACGGGAGAAGAAGCCCCGGCUAACUUCGUGCCAGCAGCCGCGGUAAUACGAAGGGGGCUAGCGUUGUUCGGAAUUACUGGGCGUAAAGCGCGCGUAGGCGGUUUUGCAAGCCAGAGGUGAAAUGCCUGAGCUCAACUUGGGAAUUGCCUUUGGGACUGUGAGGCUUUGAGGACUGGAGAGGUGAGUGGAAUUCCCAGUGUAGAGGUGAAAUUCGUAGAUAUUGGGAAGAACACCGGUGGCGAAGGCGGCUCACUGGCCAGUUUCUGACGCUGCAGCGCGAAAGCGUGGGGAUCAAACAGGAUUAGAUACCCUGGUAGUCCACGCCGUAAACGAUGAGUGCUAGGCGUCGGCAGGCUUGCCUGUCGGUGCCGCAGCUAACGCGUGAAGCACUCCGCCUGGGGAGUACGGUCGCAAGAUUAAAACUCAAAGGAAUUGACGG